GAAGGGUGAACAGCAUCAUGAAACUAUUUGGUUGGUUAUUGCCACCCAUGAGCUGGACUGCUGACUGAACACUGAUUGGGUCGGUUAUACCAAGGCUCUGUAGGGGCAGCUUGCCUGUUACACCUGUUGGAUUUUACAGAGACUGGUUUAUGGACUGGGCAUUUCAUCCAACUUGGAACCUGCUCUAUUACAAUGGCUGAACUUGGG
rnacentral:misc_RNA from 1 species